GCGAGUCAUUGGGAAUGAAAACCCAAAGGCGUAAUGAAAGUGAAGAUUCGAUUGCGAAUUUGAGGAGAGAUACCGUAGCGGUGUGGUGGCUUCCGUAAGGUUGUUGCCACAGCUUGGUCGCAUCUCCGGGACGUCUAUACCUCUGAAGGUAGGGCGUACCUAGAGCGUACACGUUGGGACCCGAAAGAUGGUGAACUAUGCCUGGUCAGAACGAAGUCAGGGGAAACCCUGAUGGAGGUUCGUAGCGAUUCUGACGUGCAAAUCGAUCGUCGGAACU
rnacentral:rRNA from 1 species